CAAUGAGGGUGAGCAACUUCUCUUCGAUUAGGGCAGAACAAUCGAGUUCAGGGGCUUAUUUCUUUCUUGGUGGUGGGGAGUAACCUCGUGCUUUUCCUUUACCUUUCUGGUACGUAGGGAUUCUGUUGUUCAUACUUUCAGGGUAUUGGUUAGACAAAUUAAAGGCAAGGGUGGGGAGUUAAAGAUGCAGAGAGAAGGAGCCAAAUAUGUGAGAGUAGGUUCUGGCGUCGCAAACAUAAGAGAAAGGGGCGGAAGCAGGGUUUGAAGGUUUGAGUAAGAGGAUGGAACGAAGAAACCAUUAAAUAAAUUUCUAACGGUUGGAUAAAGACCAGUAUAUGCUACCUUUUUUAGCAAAAAAGAGUAAGUGAGAUUUGGUUAAAGGCUUGCAUCUUAGUCCUUUGGAACUGUACCUGGCAGAGUUUUCCACCCUCUUUAUAAAUACCUAAGUUACAUAAACUAUGUCAUGUGUCCAUUUCUCACUAACUCUUUGUAUCAAAAGUAUCACGUUUUAGACAUAAAGAAAAAAAUCAAAACAUCACGUGUCUAUAUGAA